GUGGAUUAGAUACCUCGGUAGUCCUAGCCCUAAACGAUGUAGACUAGGCGUCGGAAGUUUAAUCACUUUCGGUGUCCAAGCUAACGCGAUAAGUCUACCGCCUGGGGACUACGGCCGCAAGGUUAAAACUCAAAGGAAUUGACGGGUCCCCGCACAAGCAGCGGAGCGUGUGGUUUAAUUCGUUGCUACACGAAGAACCUUACCUGGGUUUGACAUAGCAGUGGUAGGGAAGCGAAAGCGGACCGACCCUUCGGGGAGCUGUUACAGGUGUUGCAUGGCCGUCGUCAGCU
rnacentral:rRNA from 1 species